CGGCCGCACAGCAGCUCCGACCGUUUCCUCCUCAGCGACUGGAUUCAGUUUUAUUAUCAUUUCACAGAGCUAUGAAUCCGGCGCCGCGCCUCGUCGUCCUGCUGCUGGCGGCUCGGAUCGCAGCAUCUCAGACAUUCAUCAAUGCUGGCCAACAUUUCAGAGUCGUUUUUCCAGAAAACAUUGCCUACUACCACCCUUCUGAUGCCCAGAACAAGAUCUGGGUCAUGGCUCUGCAUGACGGCACA